CAUUUUAAUAUCUUAUUUAAUGAGGCCUUUUAAGAUAAUCGCCCUCUCAGCUCUCCCAGGCCACCUCUCCUCCUGAUCCCUCCAGCCAAGGGACCAAGGGGCUCAGCUUUGGACACAGCAUUAGAUGUGCUCGUCGGCAGCACAUACACUAAAACUGGACAUAGCGUUAGAAAGGGAAAUAAGAGCUGCCCCUGCACUUCACCUUGGAACUGCUUUUAGGAGGUCAAGACCACAGAGAGCCAAAGGAGGAGAGAGGAUGGGGCAAGACUCACGAUCCAUAGGAAUCUCGAUGGCCCCGCCGAGACUAAGGAGGAAGAGGAGGAGGAAGGCUGCUUGGGCCCAGGGCGGCAGCUGCUGCCUGGCCAUCCUCGGCACCAGGCCACGCUCCCCGCCUCCCCAGCCCUUGGGGUCUCGCUGUCUCCAGCUGCUCCACGUGGGCCUCUGGUACAGAGCUCAGCUGGGGAAGGAAACACACAGCAAAUGCCAGCAGAGUCCACCCCUGCCUCCAACCAAAAAUGGCUCCAGACAUCGCCACCUGUCCUGGGAGGACAAAGCCACCCCCAACUGAGAACUACUUUUGUACAAGGAAAGACAACUCUGCACAGAUCAGUUAAGAAAGCAGACACUGGCUUGCAGGCCCAGCAUCCAGAGGAUGUCAUGCACAGACUGCUAAGGUGUGUGGCCCUGAUGUUGUCCCUUCAAAGGUAAUGGCAGCACUGGGACAGUGAUGCGGAAGUGGGCUCUCGGGUGGCUCCACAGCAUGAACUGCAUUUAUGACAGAUCAAGCACAAGCAAUCAUCGUGGGGCUUUCUGGGAAGAGGGUCAGAAGCGCUCAAGGGCAUCCUUAAGGGCCGCCUCCUCCCCUUGCUUCUCCCAAGAGUGGCCUGCAGCUGAGAUGCAAUCAAACACAGUGCUAAACUGCCCAGGCUCUGAAUCGAGUCUGAAACCAUGGUCCAGUUCACUCCUCUACAAUGUAGCUGAGUCAAAGUGGAAGGCAGAGGCGGCUAUGUCCAGAACUCAGCUUGCCUGGACCAACAGCUGUCUGUCAAAUGCGCCAUGCUUCUCCUGCUUCUGCUUCAUCUUGCGGCAACUUGAAGCCCACUGCCCACUGUGCGUGCCCAGUCCCCCGUCCAUCCUGACUGAGGUGGGAGAGGACACUGCAGGGGAACAGCUCCUGGACAAGGCUAUCCUUCUGGAGACCUGCAGCGAGAAAGUGGCUCACUGAUCAGUGCCUCCCUGUGCAGGGCGCAGGGCAAGCUGAAGGACUCUGACCCACAUUUCAGCAGUUCCUCCCCAGCCUCACAUGUGUGUCUGGGCUCCAUCACCUGCUCCCUUCCCACUGCCUCCCCCUGGUUUCAGUCAUAUCCAUCACACAACACUUCCUGUGCAGUCUGUCAGCUUCCAGCCCUGUCCCUGAUUCAUUCUCCAUCCACGACCAGAUUGUCAUUUCUGCAGUGCAAAUGUCAGCGUGCCUCCCUCCCCUGGACUGACUAGCAGCUCACUGCUGCUGGAGAGUUAAUGCCUGCGUCCUUGCCUGGCUCAGUGCCCGUACCUUGUGCCCCUCUCGGGCUCCUCCCACAUGAUCACCUGCUCUUCCAGCAGGGAUUUAAGCACCGUGUUGGGUCUGGAGCGUGGGCUUUUGCACAGAUUAGCCUCAUGCAGGGCACUCCCGAGUCUGUCCUCUCUUGCUAGUAUCUGUCAGGUACGACUCGUGUGCUCCCACUGGGCUCCUGCACACCCUUUGCCCUCCCCAUGAUGGCACUUUGCACUUUGUAUUCAUUCCAAGUCACUUAAUUG
ensembl:lncRNA